rnacentral:misc_RNA from 1 species
AAGUCGUAACAAGGUUUCCGUAGGUGAACCUGCGGAAGGAUCAUUACUUAACCGGGGCCGUUCCGCCCUCAGGCAGCACGUCCGGUGUGCGUUAGUCCUGUUGGCCCGGCCUGACUGCCACCUUGCCCACCGCACCUUUGUUGUUUCCUCGGUCAGGCUGCCUGCCGAAAGGAACCUACAACCCUUCUGAAUUAGAAAUUACACUCUGAUAACCACUAAAUUAAACAACUUUUAACAAUGGAUCUCUUGGUUCUG